rnacentral:rRNA from 1 species
GCAUAUCAAUAAGCGGAGGAAAAGAAACCAACCGGGAUUGCCCUAGUAACGGCGAGCGAAGCGGCAAAAGUCCAAAUUUGAAAUCUGGCGUCCUACGGGCGUCCGAGUUGUAAUUUGAAGAUGGUAACUUUGGGUUUGGCUCUUGCAUAAGUUCCUUGGAACAGGACGUCAUAGAGGGUGAGAAUCCCGUUCAUGGUAAGAUGCCCAUUCCUUUGUAAAGUGCCUUCGAAGAGUCGAGUUGUUUGGGAAUGCAGCUCUAAGUGGGUGGUAAAUUCCAUCUAAGACUAAAUAUUGGCGAGAGACCGAUAGCGAACAAGUACAGUGAUGGAAAGAUGAAAAGAACUUUGAAAAGAGAGUGAAAAAGUACGUGAAAUUGUUGAAAGGGAAGGGCUUGAAGUCAGACUUGGUAUUCAGUGAUCAACUGUCUUUCGGGACUGUGCACUCGCUGUUUACUGGGCCAACAUCGGUUUUGGCGGCGAGAUAAAUGCAUUGGAACGUGGCUCUAUCUUCGGGUGGAGUGUUAUAGCCUUUGUAAAUAUCGCCAGCUGGGACCGAGGACUGCGCAUCUGCUAGGAUGUUGGCGUAAUGACUUUAAGCCACCCGUCUUGAAACACGGACC